GGUGGUUCUCAGGUGAUGCACCCCCAGAAUUGGGCUCCCUCCUCUCUGGUUCUGGGUGUGUCACCUGAGAACUGCA
rfam:Myotis davidii contig322230, whole genome shotgun sequence.